CAAAACUACAUUUGCUUUUUGUUUUUUUAAUAUAAAUACAGAAAUGUACAUGAGUCAGAUGUUAAUAUUUGUGCAUCCAGAUGUAGAAGCGAAUUUAGAUGAAUAUUAUCUGAUAUUUUGUCAUUAACCUUAAAAAAAAGAUGAGACAUUUCAAAGGGAUAUGAGAGCUCUACUUUCAUGCUUCCUGGAAAUACAUCUACCAAUAGGCAUGUCCCCGAAUGCCAGGUGAUAUUCUCAGAUCAUGCUGAAAAGGGUCGAGUUAAGCCCCUGUUUGACCUCUAAAACCAGGAAAGGAUGAAAGCUUGACAGAGAAGCUAUGUGGCAUUUAUUGCUCACGUUAAAACUUAACAAUUCUUCGGAAAUCAACAGACCACAAGGCUCUUUUCAACCACGCACAUAAUCCAACUCAUUGAGCCCAAAGGAGCCAGAAAUACUCUAUUGGCUGCAGUCUGCAGAUGUGGUGCGCCCCAAGGUAAACAGAAAAGUUGCAGCACAAGUUCAGUGUUCAGUUGUUCGAAACGUCAACAGAAUAAGUUUAUUGUUCGAACCAAAGAACAAGACUAGGUUAUCAGCUGGCAUAUGAACAUACGACAUAAACAAUGUAUCAAAAUCUUGAUAUUUUCUCAAGCCCAAGAGUUCUGCAUUCAACUCUAACAGUGUAUGCAGGUGAUUGAUCAUGCAUCUGAAAUACAAGAAUCCAUCACUGAAGUGGGGUCAACCCGACAACACCUGCGCGUGCAGUAGAGUGAUUAAAGGAAAGGUUGACAUGAACUACAUAAAGUCUGAAUGAUUAUAAUGUCAACCAAAACAACAAAUAUUGAAUGCAGACAAUAAAUCUGGAAGCAGCUUGAGCCAAUGCAAAACUUCCUACAAUCUCACAAUUAUUGGCAUUAAAAUGACAUUUAUUGUGCCAGGCACAUUAUUAGAAAUAGAAUUAGAAAUUGAAACCCAAAAUAGCCAUUGCAGGAUGCAUUUAUUUCUUAUGUGCAUAUUACCAGCUGAGAAUGGAAGUUUUUACUUCAAUCUUAUCGAGAUAAUUUAAAUCAUGUCUCUUCAUAAGCAUAUGAAGGACUGUUCAUUGAAUCAUUGGGCUAAUUUAUUUCCAGCUCAGUCAGGUAUCACACUGUGUUAGUUCCUGAACCACAACAAACCACCAAAACUUCAUUCAGCUCCCCAAAUUCAUCCUUCUACAUAUGCAUCUGGUAGCUCUACAUGCCACGAAAAGUGGGUUAACAUUAAACAAAAUAUUCAUCCAAGAAAUGGAAAAUCUAUACUUUAAAGCAACAACCAUAACCAUUAGUCUUUCUUUAUAAUAAAAUUCAGAUGCUUAAUCUUGUGAGAAUAAAUCCAGCAGCUUAGUUGAAAGACCUUCCAUGAUAGUCGGCAUGCUCGGUGUGGUAUCGAGUAUAUUGUGCUAUUGCCAUAUUGGCGCGCAACAUCAGCAUGGUAUCAAGGCUUUGAGACUCAGAUCUUAGCCAUAUUUGUGGGUGUUUGAUUCCAAGAUGGAUCAAGAUCUUGGUUAUCUCGCCGUGGCAAAAAGGACAAGGUUAAGAUAUGUCACGAUCUCAGUUAAUGUUUCAGGAAUCUUAAUAUCAAAAUCUCAAUAGAUAAAGUAAAUUGAGAUGGACUUUGUUCCUCUCUCCUCUUGACUCUAAAUCAAUAAUACGGCAUCCAAAUCAAAGAUCCACAUCACUGUUCAUGAUCUAUACCACUAAAAAUAUCUAGAAAUAAAAAAUCAUGUAUUUUAAUAGUCUCUAACCUCGAUAUCAUAUAGACACAAAAAGGGGUGGCUUCCGUUAUGUUAACAUGUUAACAUUCAUGAUNNNNNNNNNNNNNNNNNNNNNNNNNNCUAUAUAUGUUAAAACAUAUAUAUAGAUCGAAAAUUAAUAGAUUUUAAUGCUUGGAGCAUAGCAAAACGUUAUCUCAUAUUCUUUUUUUUGCUUAAGAAACAUUAUCUCAUAUCAUUACAAUUGUUUUUUAAAAUAUAUUUUUUGUUUCUGGGCAUUUUCACUGAUACAGAACAUGAUCAAUGGUGUCCAUCUUCAAUUUGGUUGCCCCAUUAUUGAGUUUGGGGAAGUAAUGGGUAGAUAACUUCUCUUCUCAAGAAGAGCAAAAUCCAUCUUAAGUAACCUGGAGAUUAAUUACUAUCUUAAGAAAUUAGUAUGAACUAAAAAACUUGUUUUAUACGGUAAAAACUGAAUAUGAAAUAUUUGUUGAUAUUUUUGAUACUAUCUUAAGUAUUUUUGGUAAAAACUAGUGACAUUGCCCACUUAAAUAAAAUUUUUCAGUAGAGCAGAAUCCAGUCUGAAGUAAGCCUUUUUACGGUUUAUAAUAUAUUGCACCUCCAAGGCACAUCAUACACCAGGAGUUGUGUGGAAGAUAUCCUGCAUUGCCUCCCCUAGGAUGUACAAGAGUUGGAAGGAGAUUCUCGCAAUCUGAAAACAACUGGAUGUGAUAUUAGCACUAUCAAAGUCAAAAGAAUGAUCUUGAAGGCGCCUUGAGUGACUACAAGCGCAGGCAUGAGGAAAAACAUAUCCACUUAAAAGUUGCUUUUAAACUGCUUCUGACGGUGAUUACUAGGUGUCAUUAUCAUGUCUCUGAUGUCUGUAUGGUUUCCUUGUCAGGCUAACAGCAUCACAUAGCUGCCUUCCAGAUUCCCAUAUUGAUGUACAUUGAUCUUCCAGCUUCUUUGAUAAUAAGUGCACAGCUGGUCCCCUAACCGUUGAGUGAAACACUUGUAAAGCCUUCUCUAACAGUAUCUUGUGCAAAGUAGUAGGGUAACAAGCAGGCAACUCUUUCAGGUGAAACUCUUUAGCAGCUGGAAGAGCUCUUUGGCAUCCAGAUAUACAAAACUUCAUGUUAAGCCCCUUAAUACUUUCCAAACAAGAUAUCGCAGCUUCAAUAGCACUGGUUUCUGGUGCAGAAAUCUGCUCAUCCUGUAUCUCAUUUGCACUUCUUUUAUGAGGCAUUGUUCUCACAUUUCCAAUUUCCUCCAUAAAGCCAUCUUUUACAGAUAGCAAAGUAUCAACAAUCACAUUACUCAAAGACAACCAGUUUUCCGAACUUGGGAGUUCAAGGGAACUAACUGGUUUUCCUGCUGCAGUCGAUGCUGAUGCUGCAGCUACCAUGAAUGCCANNNNNNNNNNNNNNNNNNNNNNNNNNNNNNNNNNNNNNNNNNNNNNNNNNNNNNNNNNNNNNNGAAAAUAUGAAGUCGAAUGUCCUCAUUACUCAAUGGCUGGCAAUUGUUUUCAAGUGAAAACUCAUCCAACAUGGUUUUCGAAUUAAGAGCCUCUGCCAAAGAUCUGUAGCAACAAAAUCCAAAGAUUCACCCCUCGGGUUCACAGACCUGUCCAACAGUGCAACAACCCUUGAUGCAUCAAGGGUAGACGGGAAAGGAGCUCACACGACCAAUGCCUUUUGAACUAUGAUGAGUAGACUCUCUAUGCCGACCAGCGUGCGGCAUUUCUUGAUCAAAAAACGGGCCUGUGUUUCUAAAGAUGAAUGCAGCUUCAUCCUGAAACUGGCAUUACUUGCAGAACCAGCUAGCAUGAUCACAGAACCAAUAUCUUUGAAGUUUAAGCUUAAUCUUGGCAAUCCACCCACGCUGGAGGGCUGAUUUAGGGAAGAAGCAUCAGCAGAAUCCUCCAUGUUGCUUGCUGGAUUUGGUCCAUCUAAGAUUUCAUCACUGAAAACAAAGAGAAUGACAGGAAUACACUGCCCUGGCAGCACUAACGGACGAGAGCCCGUGCCUGAUAUUAAAGAAGCUGCCAGGCCAUGGCAGUUUGUGGUCCCACCCCGUCGGUCUAGUGGGGAAACAGAAGAGAUUCUCUGAAGAAAUAUAAUGACAUGAAUAACCUGGUUCAAAUUCAGCUGCUAAUUUCAGACUGAGGAACCAAAUUGUUUUCAAAAAUAAUAAAGGUCUAUUGCAGUUCCUGAUGUUUGUUAGCGUAAGGUUUUCUUUGAGGAAUUGGGGCUAAGAUCUAAAAGUUUCAUAGCAAGUCCUUCAUGUAGUCAAAAAUUAAGUGAAUCUACUAAAGGAAACUAAUCAAAACCUGACACGAUCACUAGCUUCAAUAUCAUAAUUCAAAUUGUUUUCAAAAUCGGAAACGUCUUACUGGUUAUUGAUGUUUGCUAACAUGAAGUUUUUCUUGUAAGAAUGGAAGGCAAAGUGCACGAAGUACGAGACGAAAUCCGUAACUUUUGUACUAUAAACCUUCAUCUGAUCAAGAACCAAAUCAAAUUCAGCAAAGAAAACAGGGCAGAACCUAAACCAAGUCAAACACAAGGAACCUUGUAACGCAGCAGCAGAAAAGCAACAAGAUCGAAAGGAAACAUCUCACAGAGAACAUAAAGAGCAUCCCACAGAGAUCCUCGGCUUCGCAUUCCUCCAGAACCGACGCGGACUCAUCUCCCCCGCCAUCUGUUCGAGACGAGGCCAGCAGCAAUAGCGGCGACAAAGACGAAGAGAACUGCAGAAAAGGCAUCCCUUUCUCCGCUUCCGGUUACCGGUAAUAACUGAUCCUCCG
rnacentral:lncRNA from 1 species